AAUAUUGCACAAUGGAGGAAACUCUGAUGCAGCGACGCCGCGUGAGCGAUGAAGGAAUUCGUUUCGUAAAGCUCUGUCCUAGGGGACGAUAAUGACGGUACCCUAGGAGGAAGCCCCGGCUAACUACGUGCCAGCAGCCGCGGUAAUACGUAGGGGGCGAGCGUUGUCCGGAAUUAUUGGGCGUAAAGGGUACGCAGGCGGCCAUGUAAGUCAGAUGUGAAAGAUCACGGCUCAACCGUGGUAAGCAUUUGAAACUGCUUGGCUUGAGUUAAGGAGAGGAAAGUGGAAUUCCUAGUGUAGCGGUGAAAUGCGUAGAUAUUAGGAAGAAUAUCAGUGGCGAAGGCGACUUUCUGGACUUAUACUGACGCUGAGGUACGAAAGCGUGGGGAGCAAACA
rnacentral:rRNA from 1 species